GUGGGGAAUAUUGGACAAUGGGGGCAACCCUGAUCCAGCCAUGCCGCGUGAGUGAUGAAGGCCUUCGGGUUGUAAAGCUCUUUUGGCGGGGACGAUGAUGACGGUACCCGCAGAAUAAGCCCCGGCUAACUUCGUGCCAGCAGCCGCGGUAAGACGAAGGGGGCUAGCGUUGUUCGGAAUUACUGGGCGUAAAGCGAGUGUAGGUGGUUGUCAUAGUCAGGUGUGAAAGCCUUGAGCUCAACUCAAGAAAUGCACUUGAUACUGGGCGACUAGAGGACCGGAGAGGAUAGUGGAAUUCCCAGUGUAGUGGUGAAAUACGUAGAGAUUGGGAAGAACACCAGUGGCGAAGGCGGCUAUCUGGACGGUUACUGACACUAAGACUCGAAAGCGUGGGGAGCAAACAGGAUUAGAUACCCGUGUAGUCC
rnacentral:rRNA from 1 species